AAGCUUCAGUCCUCCCUUGAUGUUAUUUUUGUCUUAUUUUCGGGGUUGUUACUAAUUUACUAGAUGGUCUGAGGAAUGAGAGCUCUGAGACUCCCAUCCCCCUACUGAUUCCAUUGAUCCUUGAGAUGCUGAUUAUUUAAAGACUUUCCUCAGGCUUGGGUGUAAGCUUUUGACCUCAGUCUCAACUUGAUCAGGUCAGGUGCUGAUCAGCUUCUAGCCCUAGGCUUAGGCUCACAGUUUUGGUCUCAAGGUGUUCUUGAUUCAAUCAGAUUCAAUCCCUGUUCUGGAGCUCCAUCCUUAGUUUUGGACAGAAAGAUCCUGGGGAGGCUCCCCCUCGGAACUGUGUCCUCACCCCAAGGAUAGACUGGGAUUCCUGGCUUUACUCUGGGCCUAUGUGGAUAGGCCUCCUUCAGCUCAGAUUGCUUUGGGCUGGAACCCUGGACUUCUCCACAGGCUUACAAUUUCAAGGGGUGUUAGUUGGCUUGGACCUCUUUUUGCGUGGCAGGAGUUUGGAACCUGUGAGAAUAGAUGUGUGGGGUGGUGGGGGUGUGGUUUGCUUUUGACUUGCUUUUCACUUACUGCUAUGCCCUCUGCUAGCUCUGUUCCCCUCUUGCCUCAGUUCCCCAGAUGGUCUCUGCUACCUUUUGGGCUUUUCUUUUUUUUUUCUUUUUGAUGAUUGUUUGCCUCUGUCUUUUUUGGUUCUUUCACUCCUGUAUUCGUUUUGUGGCAGUAUUUUACUCUUGGUUCAAUAGGAUUUUUGUGAUGAAAGGGUGAGCUGCUACCCUAGUUACUCCUUCAUCUUCCAAAAGUAACUCUCUGAAUGAUCAUGGAGAUUAAGAAAAUUGCCAUAGGACUUCAUUUAAGAUAGCUUUUAUCCCAACUUUCCAAAAAGGAAAAAAAGAUGAAGUGAAAAAUGGAUAUAAGCUGGUGAUCCUGACUUCAGUUCUUGGCACAAGUUUAGACUCUAUUAGUAAGGUUAUGAUUUGUGGACAUUUAGAAAAGGAAGUGGUGAUAUUUUAGAGUCAGUGUGGCUUCACCAAGAUUAGGUCAUACUAGAGAGAUUUGAUUUUUGUCUUUGAAAGUAUUACUAGACUGAUAGUUAAAGGGGAUAUGGGAGGCUUGCUGUUCCUAGAUUUUGGCGAAAUGUUUAUCAAUUUUAAUGUUAGUGGAGAAGAUGAAGAAUUAUGGACAAGAAAAUAGUUAAGUAGUUUCAAAACUAGUUGAAUGACUAUGUCAAAAGAAUAGUUAAGUGAUCUUCAUACAUUUGGAGGAAAGUCUUACAUGACCUAUUGAUCUAUCCUUGUCUUUUGACUACUCAGAAUUUUGAAUGAAAUUAUAGUUAGCAUCUUUAUGAACCUUCAGAAUUACAUGGUUCUUAAAUUAUCUACAAAACAGUAGUGAAAUUGUUGUUUAUCAUAGUGUUCAAAAAGCAGCUGAGGUAAAGAUGAGCCAGAUUGGCAUUAGAUCCAACUAACACAACAUAUCUCAAGAACAUUUGUGGAUGAAAUUGGAAAGAAGACAACAUUUUUACAUGAAAUAUACCAGAGCUGAUAAAAUUCCCAUAAUGUUCUAAUUUCUACUUAUUGAUUUAAAAAACAUCAAUUUGAUCCAAUAAAAUAAAAUGAACUCAUAGAAAUUGCCUAUGGAUUUAAUGGGGAAAAAAAACAUUUUCAGGAAUUUUAGUGGACUGAAGCAUGGAAGGGUUAUCAUCGGUAUAGUUAAAGAGGGUGCCCUCAAUAAUGAGAUCUUGGCUUCAUUGAAAAAGGUAUAUAAAUUUGUUAUUAUUAUUUAUUUAAAACAGUGAUAAUAUAAUUCUAGCAGUAAAGGAGAAGGUGGAUAAGGAGAUGAAAAUAAGACCAAUAAGAAAGCCUUGGAGAAUGAAUGUUUAUGCUGUAAGUUGGCAUAAGUACAGAUGCCAGUGAAGCAGCCUCUGCAUGACUGAGGUAGGGAAUUAUAGGAAUGGUUGAAGAGGAAGAUGCUGCUUUGAGCAUUUUUUGAGUGGUUUAAGUAACCAUAGUAUUGACCAUGAAUUAUUAAAAAUAGAGCUUUUGAAAGCAUUAGGCCUUUCUUACCACAUAGUUCAGGAGGACAGCUGGGAAUGAUAUAUGGAGAAGAAGAACAGGGAUUCAAGGCUAGGAGAGUUUCUGCUACUCAGCCCUUUACUCUUUGGUGCAUUCCUAGAAUUAAAUUUUGGUAAAAAAAAGUGGUAUGUCUAGGGUACCGCUCGAUGUAGCUUAUUGUUUUAAUCCUUCCUAUUUGGCCUGCUUCUUUCUGAGAACAUAUUGUACACAUGUUCUGAUGCUGUUUGAAGGUCCUGGGAGAGACAAGAAUUGAUUGAAAGCUCUCAGUUCUAUGGAAGUGGGUGGCCAAAGAGCUCGAGCUGAACAGCUGCUGUAAACCCAAUGAACUUUUGUCAUUUAUAAAUUAUUUUGUAAGCCAUCUGGAGGAAGAAUGGUGCCAUGGUUUUGGGGGGAAAAAGUUCUUAACCAAGGUUCAUGCACAGCCAAUGUGGAUAUAGUUCAUAUAUUUAAAAAAAAAACACUGAGUUUCAAAAGUUUUUUUUUUUUAAGUACAUUGAAGGGAAUGAAAAAAAAGUUAAAAAAAUGUUUUAGAAAAGAUUGAUUAUCCUCUAAGUCAUUUUUUACUCUUUCCUUUCAGCUAACAUAUUUUGCCUGCUUUAAUAUUUGGUAGAAAAAAAAAUCUUAAUUCCAGAGUCCUAAUGAAAUUUUCUGGUUGAUGACAGAAUCAAAAAACCCUUUUCCCGUUGCUCCCAGGAUUGCUGUCUGGAUAUGAUAUUGUCUUAUUCAGUAUCUUGCUUGUCGUAACUUUUUGUCUAAUCCAGAGUCACCAAGUCAGACCAGAUCCUCCCAGCCAAAGUGUAUUACAGAUCACUACCUGACAAAAUCACUUCUCAAAAAUCACCUGGCAGUGCAUAUCACAAACCUGGACCCUUUUUUAAAUAAAUAACUUUAUUCUUGGGGGAAGUACAAAGAGAAGACAGCUUAGUUCUGAGACCAUAAUAUUUGAUUCUGGCAGAAUACAUGAACUAUCAUAUAAAGAAAGAAUGAUAUUUGAAGGGCUGAUAUCCUCUGAGGCUUGUGGUUCUACCAAAUCAUCCUACUAUAUUUACUAUUCAAGAUUUCUCAAUGCAUUCUGUACCUAAGUAAAGAGAGGUGUAAUUACAUAGAAGUGAUUACCAGUAACGAGUAGUAUUCUUCUGCUAGUAUAUACAGUUCCUGGGCUCAAGUGAAUGUUUUCUCUUUUAAGGUACUAGAAUCUUGAAGAAAGACUGCAGUUAUAAAACCUGACCAAUUUGCUGUAAUCAUAAUCUGUCUUAGGCCUGGCCUGCCUUUUAUUGGACUAUUUACAAAAACUAAAAUUCUAAAGCAAGCAAUGAUUUUGUAUUUAAGUUGUUUUUUUUUAUAUUAUUUAACUCGAGUCUCUUACCAGAUUUCUUUUUUCAUACAAUCUAGUGAAUGAUUUGCAAGAGUGGCAAGUGUUUCCUACUGUGCGUUCAUAAUAAUUCAAAUUCUUAUAGUUAAAAGCCUUAGAUAUUUAUUCAUGUACAUUAUAAUAUGCAUUUUAAAACACCUCAUUUCACUCACUUCCAUUUUUUUACAUAUGAAAUUAUGAGCCAUUUUACUAUUAUGGACAUCUUAGUAGCAAAAUUCAUUUUAUUAUUGGCAAAAAACAAUAAAUCUGUGCAUAUGCGUUUGCGUGUAAAGGCACCUGGGAACAAAGGUUUUUCUUUGUCCAACUGCUUUUUUAAAAUGGACACAAUCAGAUGCUUAUCCCCAAAUAUUUUAUUUUAUUUUAUAGAUUAUUGUAAUGGACUUGCUUUGAGGAUGGAGGAUUAUGAACUAAGUAUCAUUGUAUAUUUGAGUUACAAAGCUCCUUGCUUUUAUGGGGUUUAGUGUGGCCAUGUCAGGGAGGACCCUUCACUCUGGCCACAUCAGUGGGAAGCCCUGUAAUAGUCAGUGUUGAUAUUAAUGAGUUGAAUGUUUUUGAGGUAGAAACUGUAUUUUCAAGGAGAUUAAGGGUAUUUGCCAGUGAAAAGGAAACUACUUCUAUCAAUAACUGGUCAGAAGCACAGACUUUGCUGUAUUUAUUUACAAAUCAAUUAAUGGACCUCUCUGUUAACACUCCAUCAGUCAAAGCCUUGCAUCCCCCAUUGAUAAGGAUAUCCCACAAAAAGAAAUCAAUUAUCUUUUGUCAUUCUGACAGGAAUACGCUAUAUAGGUGGCUUCCCCCACAAUGCAAUAGGAGAAUGUGUGCAAGCCAGAAGAUAACCUGAUUUUACAAAAUCAAUGUCGUCAUAAAAGGAGUCCAUAAUUGAUAAUGAGCAAAAGGUUUCCUUCUUGUACCCAGUGAUCAGGAGAAAAGGACUCACCCUAGAGGCCGAACGAGCUGUUGAAAAGCAGCUUAGUCUUUCUCUCUUUCACAUUCCUUCCUUCUUCCAUUCAUUGCCAGCUGUGGUAGGAAGGCCCAAUUUUCAAGGACUCAUGGAGGAAUUUAAACCAUUUCAGCAAGGAGUCAUGUAACUCAAUCUCAUGUAAUGCUUGAAAAAUGUACCCUCGUAGAUACAGUGCAUGAGAGUAUGUGCUGGCAUCAAUACAAGAAUCUUUGGAAGCACCCUCUGAGGGAACCUCUACAAAGUGAAAUAUGCUUCACUCAUGUGAUCUCCCCAAAGUCAUGUGCAGUCAAAGCCCCAUCUCUGUGCCUAUCAUGCUGCUAAAGAGCCUAUUGGCUCCAGCGAGUUAUGGAGAGGACUGUAAUGACAACCUUCUGAGCCAUGGAUUACAGGACUUUCUUUUCAAAGGGGAUUGCAAACGUGGGAGUAGUUCCUGUGAUUGUGGCUGGUGAUAGCAUGCUCUUAUCCUGCCAGAGCAGAUAAAGGAAGAAGACCAUGUUUUCCUAGACAGCACUUACUUCCAUGAAAAUGAUCUGAAACUGCCUUUUGUUUGCAAGGAUACAAUCUGCCACUUUUGUUUUGCAUCAUCAUCACCCACAAAAAGGCAAUUCUUUCCCAAGGACCAGAGCAAAAAGAAGUGAAGAAAGAAAAUGAGACCUGCAAGGAAAAAAGCAAAUCACAGAACCAUAGUGAAAAUUUGGGGGAGAGGGGAGGAAUGUGUCAAUGAAGUAAAGAUGGCCUAACCAAAAGAUAAGAAGGAAAAUAUUUCAUACAGACCCUUCAAAGAGUAUAUGAUUACAAGGUAAGGGAAGAGAUGAAAAUGUAAAAUAUGGAAAAGGGUGAAAGAAACAAAGAAUAGAAAAAAGGAUAAAAAAAUUAACUGGACAAAUUACCAGUGGGGUUAGUCCAAGUUUCAAAUCUCUGUUUACACUGUGUCUGGGAAGAUCUGAUUCAGCCUAUUUAAUUGUGAAAUAAAUUCUUUUGAGUUUUUAGUUGAGACAUCUUUCAUUUAAAAAGAAAGAGGGGAAUAUGUUUUUUUACCAUAAUUUUAUUAUUUAAUGUUAUUUUUAUAAUUCACAAUACUAAGGCCUGUGUAAGUAAUAAUGUAUACACAAAUGCAAAUAAAGGCCCUGUACUUCCCCUGGGCAAUUUCAUUCCCA